rnacentral:rRNA from 1 species
UACGUAGGGUGCGAGCGUUGUCCGGAAUUACUGGGCGUAAAGAGCUCGUAGGUGGUUUGUCGCGUCGUCUGUGAAAUUCCGGGGCUUAACUCCGGGCGUGCAGGCGAUACGGGCAUAACUUGAGUGCUGUAGGGGAGACUGGAACUCCUGGUGUAGCGGUGAAAUGCGCAGAUAUCAGGAGGAACACCGAUGGCGAAGGCAGGCCUCUGGGCAGUUACUGACGCUGAGGAGCGAAAGCAUGGGUAGCGAACAGGAUUAGAUACCCUGGUAGUCAAGGGCGAAUUCGUU